rnacentral:rRNA from 1 species
UGAGGAAUAUUGGUCAAUGGGCGCGAGCCUGAACCAGCCAAGUAGCGUGAAGGAUGACUGCCCUACGGGUUGUAAACUUCUUUUAUAAAGGAAUAAAGUGAGGCACGUGUGCCUUUUUGUAUGUACUUUAUGAAUAAGGAUCGGCUAACUCCGUGCCAGCAGCCGCGGUAAUACGGAGGAUCCGAGCGUUAUCCGGAUUUAUUGGGUUUAAAGGGAGCGUAGAUGGGUUGUUAAGUCAGUUGUGAAAGUUUGCGGCUCAACCGUAAAAUUGCAAUUGAUACUGGCAGCCUUGAGUACAGUUGAGGUAGGCGGAAUUCGUGGUGUAGCGGUGAAAUGCUUAGAUAUCACGAAGAACUCCGAUUGCGAAGGCAGCUUACUAAACUGCCACUGACAUUGAUGCUCGAAAGUGUGGGUAUCAAACAGGAUUAGAUACCC